rnacentral:rRNA from 1 species
UGGCGGACGGGUGAGUAACGCGUGGAAAACCUGCCGUAUACUGGGGGAUAACACUUAGAAAUAGGUGCUAAUACCGCAUAAGCGCACAGCUUCGCAUGAAGCGGUGUGAAAAACUCUGGUGGUAUACGAUGGUUCCGCGUCUGAUUAGCUAGUUGGUGGGGUAAUGGCCCACCAAGGCGACGAUCAGUAGCCGGCCUGAGAGGGUGGACGGCCACAUUGGGACUGAGACACGGCCCAAACUCCUACGGGAGGCAGCAG